CAAACUGAAUGCUGAGCAGAGCUGAGCCUGUCAUGCAGCUGCCUCAGAGGCAGGAGGAGCAUGAAGAAGCGUGGGGGAGAGACCUGACAGGGGAUUCCAGAGAUCACACUCAGGAGCUGGGAUCCUACAGAGGAAGCGCUGCAAGUGGAGGGGCUGUACCAUGUGAUCCUGCACUCGGGCUGCUCAGCGUGUGGUCACCAUAGCAACCCAGGACAUCGUCAACCCGGAAGUCCAUGGUGAGACACAAGCGUCUCGGUUGCUGUGGAUCCCGGUGGUGGCGAGCAGGAAAUACGUCAUGUGACAUGACGUGGAACCUGUGAGCGCUUGGGAAGUGACGAUGGGAUUGGCUGUCUGGCGCGGGUAUUUUAAGUGGGCCAAAUGUUGCGGCGAGUCGGCUGGUCACUAACCAACACAGCAGAGGUACAAACACAAAGCAGUUUAUAGCACAUCUACGAAACAUUGCCACACGGCAGUGCAAAAAUUAAAAGUGGUACAAGAUGGAAUUUUCCUUGGGCCACCCUUAUUAAAAAGGACAUGCACAAUUUAACAAACCAAGCUCUACAGUGACAGGGACGUACACUUUUGUGGCUGAAGUGCUUGCUUUGUUUGGG